rnacentral:rRNA from 1 species
GAUGAACGCUAGCGGCAGGCCUAACACAUGCAAGUCGAGGGGCAUCGCGGUGCAGCAAUGCACUGGCGGCGACCGGCGUACGGGUGCGUAACGCGUAUGCAACCUGCCCCGCACCGGGGGAUAGCCCGCCGAAAGGCGGAUUAAUACCCCAUGGCCCCGGGGGCCCGCAUGGGCAUCCGGGUAAAGCCUUGGCGGUGCGGGAUGGGCAUGCGUGCCAUUAGCUGGCUGGUGGGGUAACGGCCCACCAGGGCAACGAUGGCUAGGGGGUCUGAGAGGAUGGUCCCCCACACUGGUACUGAGACACGGACCAGACUCCUACGGGAGGCAGCAGUGAGGAAUAUUGGUCAAUGGGCGGAAGCCUGAACCAGCCAUGCCGCGUGCGGGAUGAAGGCCCUACGGGUUGUAAACCGCUUUUCCCCGGGAAGAAUAAGCCCCCCGCGGGGGGUGAUGCCGGUACCGGGGGAAUAAGGAUCGGCUAACUCCGUGCCAGCAGCCGCGGUAAAAGUCACGCCG